UACGAAGGGUGCAAGCGUUACUCGGAAUUACUGGGCGUAAAGCGUGCGUAGGUGGUGAGUUAAGUCUGAUGUGAAAUCCCCGGGCUCAACCUGGGAAUGGCAUUGGAUACUGGCUCGCUAGAGUGCGGUAGAGGGUGGUGGAAUUCCCGGUGUAGCAGUGAAAUGCGUAGAGAUCGGGGAGGAACAUCUGUGGCGAAGGCGGCCACCUGGACCAACACUGACACUGAGGCACGAAAGCGUGGGGAGCAAACAGG
rnacentral:rRNA from 1 species